AAGUCGUAACAAGGUUUCCGUAGGUGAACCUGCGGAAGGAUCAUUAAAUGGCCCAACACCCUCGGUCGCCCCCAGGCGUUCCGUUGCUGAGUGCUGGUCCGCACAUGCCUCGUGUCAGUACGCACGCGAUCGUGCCGAACCUCAGCCCGUCACCGGGUGCGGCUCUUCGUCGCCGGGGCAUCUGUGGGAACCCUUUGUCUACGUGUACCUUUUGUUGUUUCCUCGGUGGGCGCGAGCCCGCCGCCAGGAACCCCACAAACCCUUUUGCAUCAGCAUCCAUUCUUCUGAACAAAACCUAAAUCGUUACAACUUUCAACAAUGGAUCUCUUGGUUCUG
rnacentral:misc_RNA from 1 species